rnacentral:lncRNA from 1 species
UUGCCCAGGCUGGUCUGGAACUCCUGAGCUGGACCGAUCCUCCUGCCUUGGCCUCCCAAAGUGCUGAGAUUGCAGGAGUAAUUGGGCAGUAUCUUUUAACUGCAGUGGAGAAGUGUCAACACUACUUUGGCUGUGGGACCAGGAUCCUGCUGCCUGGAGGCAGAUUGAUAUUUUUAUUUCACCUUUAAAGGAUGUACAGUAAGGGUGAGAACAUCUCGAUGAAAUCUCUGCAGUAAAUAACUCUUGGAUCCCUUUCCCAUACAAGUGAAAGGACAAAAGGAUGAUAUGCUGAGAUGGCCUCUUCACCUGCACCAAUGCCAGGGCCAGGGUGGGUCUCAGCUACCCACCCCCAGGAAAGAAGCCUCCUCACCAGUCUCAGGAAGAAAAAUCCUAGAGAAGGCUCUGAUUAGACCAACAUGGUCACAUGGCCACCUGUGUAGCAGGAGAGAAAAGGAACACACUGUACGAGAGAGGAGAAGCAGUUCUCUAAGCAGAAGGGAGCUGUUUGUUACUAGAUGAAGGAGACAGAGCACUGGGCAGACAAGUGGAACAGAUGUCCCCUCCAGGGAAAGACCUUGAAUUUCUCCCUUGGACUCUGCUCCUCUCCUAGAGCCUCCUUCCAGUUUGGAAAAAGUUCUCCACUCCCAGUUUGGGUGUAAGGCCUUCACUUACACCCAAGUGUAACUGUGUAAGGCAAUCCUGUUUGAGGUCUGUCAAUCUGAGCUUGACCUUGGCUCUAUGAGCCCUUACUGGGUGGGGGUCUCAGGCAAGUCUGUGCCAUGCAUUUCCUCAUUGCACAUGGGGAUGACAAUGACUGU